rnacentral:rRNA from 1 species
UACGGGGGGGGCAAGCGUUGUUCGGAAUUACUGGGCGUAAAGGGCUCGUAGGCGGCCAACUAAGUCAUACGUGAAAUCCCUCGGCUUAACCGGGGAACUGCGUCUGAUACUGGAUGGCUUGAGUUCGGGAGAGGGAUGCGGAAUUCCUGGUGUAGCGGUGAAAUGCGCAGAUAUCAGGAGGAACACCGGUGGCGAAGGCGGGUCUCUGGGCCGUAACUGACGCUGAGGAGCGAAAGCGUGGGGAGCGAACAGG